rnacentral:lncRNA from 1 species
UGUAAAGGAUGUCAAAGCCUUGGUCCAUCAAGAAAUUAAAGAAAAAUCAGUGGGCUUUGCCAACCAAAUAAUGCCCACUGCAAUAUCACACAACAAAACUUCUGCAACCUCUAACGGUCACAAAAACGUAUCAAUACACACGCCAUGUGCUCUCCGUACAGUCAAACUUCAGAACAGAUUUGAAGUUCUCGGAUCUCCCAUUCACUGCAGAUGAUGACACUUGUCAACAAUCAACAUAACCUUUGUAAUCUAUAGCUUUGGGCUAUAUAUAGACAAUGUGGUGUAAGAAGAAAAGAUAAGAAUAAAGUUAUCUCUUUGAGCCUCUCUUCUCUGUAUUAUCUAGGGUUUUAGCUCUUACUUUCAUGGUAUCAGAGCACAGGUAAUACGUUCCUUGGUUUCAAUGGAGUCUUUUUCUUCUGCUCCUCUGUCUAUUUCUCAAGUUGUUACUCUUAAACUUACAGAGUCCAACUACCUCCUUUGGAAAACUCAAUUUGAGUCCUUCCUUUCUCCUCAACAGCUCUUGGGUUAUGUCAAUGGACUUACUCCACGUCCUGCAUCUACUAUAACUGAAACUGUUGCCGGCACUACUACAACAACACCAAACCCAGAUUUCGUGAAGUGGGUUCGUAAUGACCAACUGGUCAUGGCUUGGAUUUUCGGUUCUCUGUCUGAGCCAGCCUUAAGAGUGGUCUAUGGUAUGCAAUCUGCUCAAGAGGUAUGGACUGCUCUUGCUAAGAAGUUUAACAGAGUUUCCACUACUAGAAAAUUCGAUCUGCAAAAUCGUUUGCGUGCUUGCCUUAAAUAUGGUCGUUCUAUGGAGGAAUAUCUUAGUGAACUUAAACAAAUCUAUGACCAACUAGACUCUAUAGGGUUUCCUAUGACUGAUUUAGAGAAGAUACAUGGAUUACUCUCUGGUCUAGGAAAAGAGUAUGAGUCUGUCACUACUGUUAUUGAACACUCUAUGGAUUCAACACCUGGUCCUUGUUAUGAAGAUGUUGUCUUCAAAGUUAUUGCUUUUGAUGACAAGCUAAAAGCUUACUCGAGUGCUGCAACUGUUACGCCUCAUCUGGCCUUUCAAGCUGAAAAGAGCUACUUUGACAGAGGUGGUUCCAACUCUAGGGGCGGUAGAUCUGGUUCUGGCGGUAGUUACAGAGGAAGAAACAACUACUCCACUAGAGGUCGUGGCUUCCAACAACAUGGCAGUGGUCAAAAUAGUGGAACCUCUCGGCCUACUUGUCAAAUAUGUGGAAAGUUUGGUCAUAGCGCUUUUAAAUGUUACAACCGGUUCAAUGAAGCUUUUCAACAGCCUGACUUACCUAGUGCUAUGGCUGCUAUGCGUGUUUCUAAUGAAGAACAACAUAACGGUAAUGAGUGGCUUCCUGACAGUGGUUCCACUGCUCAUAUUACUAAUACCACUGCAAACCUGCAACAUACUCAGCCUUACCAAGGCCAAGAUUCAGUGAUGGUUGGGAAUGGUGAAUUUCUGCCUAUUACUCAUAUUGGAUCUGUUCCGCUUCAGACCUUGUCAGGUACAUCUCUUCCUCUAAAUGAUGUGCUUGUUUGUCCAAAUGUUACUAAAUCUCUUCUGUCAGUUUCUAAGCUGUGUUCAGAUUAUCCUUGCUCCUUUAAAUUUGACUCUGAUGGUGUGCGUGUAAAGGACAAACAUACCAAACAGCUCCUCACAAUAGGAAGCAUGACUAAGGAUCACUAUGUGCUGGAAAAUCCUGCAUUCACAGCCUUCUACUCUACAAGACAAUUGACAGCAAGUGAUGAAGUUUGGCACAAACGUUUAGGUCAUCCAAGUGCAGAGAUUCUCCAACUGCUCUCCUCUACAGAAGCCAUAUCAAUAAAUAAACGCACCACCAAGCUUUGUGAGUCCUGCAGACUUGGCAAGAGUGCCCAGCUUCCUUUUAUUUCUUCUACUUUUGUAGCUAGUAAGCCUCUUGAGAGGUUACAUUGUGAUUUAUGGGGACCUGCCCCAAUCACUUCUACUCAAGGAUUUAAAUAUUAUGUCAUCUUUAUUGACAAUUACUCUCGCUAUUGUUGGUUUUAUCCUUUGAAGAACAAGUCUGAAUUCUACUCAGUUUUUCUUCUAUUUCAAACAUUUGUUGAGACUCAGUUAAAUCAGAAAAUCAAGAUGUUUCAGUGUGAUGGUGGUGGUGAAUUUGUUAGCACUCAGUUUGUCACUCAUCUUGCAAAGUGCGGCAUCAAGCAAUUAAUCUCAUGUCCUCAUACGCCUCAACAAAAUGGGUUAGCAGAGAGAAAGCACCGACACUUAACAGAAUUGGGUCUCAGUAUGAUGUUCCAGAGCAAAGUUCCACAACACUACUGGGUUGAAGCCUUCUUUACUGCCAAUUAUUUGAGUAAUCUCCUUCCUACCUCUGUUCAUCAUCCUUCUAAAAGUCCCUAUGAAGCACUAUUUGAACAGAAACCUGAUUAUUCAGCCUUAAGAGUUUUUGGCAGUGCAUGUUAUCCUACACUUCGUGCUUAUGGAGUAAAUAAAUUUGAUCCUAAGUCCCUAAAGUGUGUAUUUCUUGGUUACAAUGAAAAAUACAAAGGAUAUCGCUGCAUUUAUCCUCCUACUGGUCGAGUUUACAUUAGUAGACAUGUUCUUUUUGAUGAACACUACUACCCCUUUGCACAUGAAUAUUCUACAUUACUUCCUACAGCCACAACAAAACUUCUCUCAGCCUGGCAACAAAGCUUCUUGUCUCCAUGGAUUCCCAACAAUAUAGCUUCGGUUCAGCAAAAGUAUACUGUCACAGAGGGUCGCCAAACUGGAAAUAUAGAACCAGCAACUACAGGACCUGCAAUUCCAGAACCUGCAACUGCUGAACCUGCAAAUGCUGAACCUGCAAUUUCAGAACCUGCAAUUCCAGAACCUGCAAUUCCAGAACCUGCAAUUUCAGAAUCUGAUAAUGACGCUGCUCCACUGGUUGCAGAAAAUGAUUUUCCUCCACUUCAAGCUCCUGUUAUAAAUGAUCAUACUAUGAUCACAAGAGGCAAAGACGGAGUACGAAAGCCUAAUCCCAAAUAUGCAUUGCAUAUCACUCACACCACUGUUAAGGAACCCAAAACAGUUGCUUCUGCUCUGAAACAUCCAGGUUGGACAGCAGCUAUGAUAGAAGAAAUUGAUACAUUUGUUGAAACAAAAACGUUUUCACUUGUCCCAUAUCAGCCAGACAUGAACAUUCUUGGUUCUCGCUGGGUGUUCAAAACAAAACUCCAAGCCGAUGGUAGUUUGGAUAAACUAAGAGCUCGUCUUGUCGCCAAAGGUUAUGAUCAAGAAGAAGGUGUUGAUUUCCUAGAAACCUAUAGCCCUGUUGUUAGAACAGCCACAGUUCGUCUUGUUUUACAUGCUGCCACGGUUCACAAAUGGGACAUCAAACAACUGGAUGUUAAAAACGCCUUUUUACAUGGUGAUUUGACAGAAACAGUUUAUAUGCAUCAACCUCCCGGGUUUCUUGAUAGUCAAAAUCCAGAACAUGUUUGGAAACUUCACAAAGCUGUUUAUGGCUUAAAACAAGCGCCUAGAGCCUGGUUUAACAAAUUCAGCACUUUUCUUCUGCAGUUUGGUUUUGAAUGCAGUCUUAAAGAUCCAUCUCUCUUUGUGUACUACAAAGGCAAUGAUAUCAUCAUCCUUCUGCUCUAUGUUGAUGAUAUGGUAUUGACAGGAAGCAAUUCAGAGUUAAUUACUAAGCUUCUGCAGUCUCUCCAUCAAGAAUUUCGUAUGAAAGAUAUGGGGAAGUUAAGUUAUUUUCUUGGGAUACAAGCUCACUAUCAUUCUGCAGGCCUAUUCCUCAACCAACAUAAGUAUGCAGAGGAUAUGCUUAUAGCUGCAGGUAUGACUGACUGCGCUCCAGCACCUACUCCGUUACCUUUAGAACUUCAGAAAGUUAAAGGUCAAGAUGAAAAAUUUGACCAGCCAACAUUUUUCAGAAGCCUAGCUGGUAAACUGCAAUAUCUCACCCUUACAAGACCAGACAUACAAUUUGCAGUCAACCUGGUUUGUCAAAAAAUGCAUUCGCCUACUAUUGCUGAUUUCAGUCUUCUCAAGCGGAUUAUUCGCUACAUCAAAGGUACAAUUGAUUAUGGAAUCUCCUUUACUCAUGAUACAGAUUUCACAUUAAGAGCAUACAGUGAUAGCGAUUGGGCUGGCUGUCAAACUACUAGCCGCUCUACUGGUGGUUUCUGUACAUUCCUUGGCACAAACAUAAUCUCCUGGUCUGCUAAGCGCCAGCCAACCGUGUCUAGAAGUUCAACUGAAGCUGAGUAUCGCUGUCUUUCGGAUACUGCAGCAGAGGUCACUUGGCUAAAGGAUUUGCUAGAAAACAUUGGUAUGCCUAUUUCUCAACCACCUGAACUAUACUGUGAUAACUUGUCUGCUGUGUAUCUCUCAGCAAACCCUGCUCUGCAUAAAAAGUCGAAGCACUUCAAGACUCACUACCACUAUGUUCGGGAACAAGUUGCAGAAGGCAUUCUUACAGUCUAUCAUAUUCACGCAGUGCACCAACUGGCUGAUAUAUUCACCAAGUCACUGCCAAUUCCAGCCUUCAAUGAUCUCAGGUACAAACUUGGUGUGGUCUCACCACCCACCCAAAGUUUGAGGGGGGAUGUAAAGGAUGUCAAAGCCUUGGUCCAUCAAGAAAUUAAAGAAAAAUCAGUGGGCUUUGCCAACCAAAUAAUGCCCACUGCAAUAUCACACAACAAAACUUCUGCAACCUCUAACGGUCACAAAAACGUAUCAAUACACACGCCAUGUGCUCUCCGUACAGUCAAACUUCAGAACAGAUUUGAAGUUCUCGGAUCUCCCAUUCACUGCAGAUGAUGACACUUGUCAACAAUCAACAUAACCUUUGUAAUCUAUAGCUUUGGGCUAUAUAUAGACAAUGUGGUGUAAGAAGAAAAGAUAAGAAUAAAGUUAUCUCUUUGAGCCUCUCUUCUCUGUAUUAUCUAGGGUUUUAGCUCUUACUUUC